AAAAAUGGAACGAAUAAACUAAAUCGAUGGAAUAGGGGAGAGUCAGUGGUCCAGUGGAUGGACAGGGGUGAGGGUUGAUGAAGUAAAAAGGCAAAUGGAAGAAGAAGCAUUGGGCUCUGAGGAANNNNNNNGAGAGGGUGAGCAUAAUGAAAUUGAAAGGGGAGGGGGCUUUCCUUGGCUGCAGCAUCAACACCUUUUUGUAAGGAGGGUAGGGGAACGAUAAUCCUUAAAACAUUAAAC
rnacentral:misc_RNA from 1 species